GUUAUCCGGAUUUACUGGGUGUAAAGGGAGCGUAGACGGUUUUGCAAGUCUGAAGUGAAAGCCCGGGGCUUAACCCCGGGACUGCUUUGGAAACUGUAGAACUAGAGUGCAGGAGAGGUAAGUGGAAUUCCUAGUGUAGCGGUGAAAUGCGUAGAUAUUAGGAGGAACACCAGUGGCGAAGGCGGCUUACUGGACUGUAACUGACGUUGAGGCUCGAAAGCGUGGGGAGCAAACAGGAUUAGAUACCCUGGUAGUCCACGCCGUAAACGAUGAUUACUAGGUGUUGGUGGGUACGACCCAUCGGUGCCGCGCA
rnacentral:rRNA from 1 species